AGUGAACGCUGGCGGUAGGCCUAACACAUGCAAGUCGAACGGCAGCACAGUAAGAGCUUGCUCUUACGGGUGGCGAGUGGCGGACGGGUGAGGAAUACAUCGGAAUCUACUUUUUCGUGGGGGAUAACGUAGGGAAACUUACGCUAAUACCGCAUACGACCUACGGGUGAAAGCAGGGGAUCUUCGGACCUUGCGCGAUUGAAUGAGCCGAUGUCGGAUUAGCUAGUUGGCUGGGUAAAGGCCCACCAAGGCGACGAUCCGUAGCUGGUCUGAGAGGAUGAUCAGCCACACUGGAACUGAGACACGGUCCAGACUCCUACGGGAGGCAGCAGUGGGGAAUCUUGGACAAUGGGCGCAAGCCUGAUCCAGCCAUACCGCGUGGGUGAAGAAGGCCUUCGGGUUGUAAAGCCCUUUUGUUGGGAAAGAAAAGCAGCAGGUUAAUACCCCGCUGUUCUGACGGUACCCAAAGAAUAAGCACCGGCUAACUUCGUG
rnacentral:rRNA from 1 species